rnacentral:rRNA from 1 species
AACGAACGCUGGCGGCAUGCCUAACACAUGCAAGUCGAACGAGACCUUCGGGUCUAGUGGCGCACGGGUGCGUAACGCGUGGGAACCUGCCCUUAGGUUCGGAAUAACUCCCCGAAAGGGGUUCUAAUACCGGAUAAUGUCUUCGGACCAAAGAUUUAUCGCCUUUGGAUGGGCCCGCGUUGGAUUAGCUAGUUGGUAGGGUAAAAGCCUACCAAGGCGACGAUCAAUAGCUGGUCUGAGAGGAUGAUCAGCCACACUGGGACUGAGACACGGCCCAGACUCCUACGGGAGGAAGCAGUGGGGAAUAUUGGACAAUGGGCGAAAGCCUGAUCCAGCAAUGCCGCGUGAGUGAUGAAGGCCUUAGGGUUGUAAAGCUCUUUUACCCGGGAUGAUAAUGACAGUACCGGGAGAAUAAGCUCCGGCUAACUCCGUG